UACGUAGGGGGGCAAGCGUUGUCCGGAUUUAUUGGGCGUAAAGAGCGUGUAGGCGGCCACACAGGUCAGCUGUGAAAACUCGAGGCUCAACCUCGAGACGUCGGUUGAAACCGUAUGGCUAGAGUCCGGAAGAGGAGAGUGGAAUUCCCGGUGUAGCGGUGAAAUGCGCAGAUAUCGGGAAGAACACCCGUGGCGAAGGCGGCUCUCUGGGACGGUACUGACGCUGAGACGCGAAAGCGUGGGGAGCGAACAGG
rnacentral:rRNA from 1 species